rnacentral:misc_RNA from 1 species
UACGGAGGGUGCAAGCGUUAAUCGGAAUUACUGGGCGUAAAGCGCGCGUAGGUGGCUUGAUAAGCCGGUUGUGAAAGCCCCGGGCUCAACUUGGGAAUGGCAUCCGGAACUGUUUGGCUAGAGUGCAGAAGAGGAAGGUAGAAUUCCCGGUGUAGCGGUGAAAUGCGUAGAGAUCGGGAGGAAUACCAGUGGCGAAGGCGGCCUUCUGGGCUGACACUAACGCUGAGGCGCGAAAGCGUGGGGAGCAAACAGG